GCUCCGUUGGUCUAGUGGUUAUGACGCUCGCCUUACACGCGAGAGGUCCCCAGUUCAAGCCUGGGACGGAGUA
rnacentral:tRNA from 1 species